UGUGCUAACCAAGAAGACAUGCCGAACAAGUGGGAGAACGCAUCUUUGGACAAGGUGAAGGAGAAAGAUGUGAAAAUCCCACCAUGUUGGUGUGGAGAUGUUUGCAAGGUGAAGGUUUCCACCGACCGAAAGAAGUCAUGGACGGAGGGAAGGAGAUAUUUUGUAUGCCCCAACUAUGCCCAUGAUCGUGCGCUUCCAACUAACCCCUAUGACCAACCGCCGGUAUGUCUUAAAAGUAACAUGUUGCUUUCAAAUUUGUGUGGGCACUAA
rnacentral:rRNA from 1 species